rnacentral:rRNA from 1 species
AUUGAACGCUGGCGGCAUGCCUAACACAUGCAAGUCGAACGGCAGCACAGCAGUAGCAAUACUGUGGGUGGCGAGUGGCGGACGGGUGAGGAAUACGUCGGAAUCUGCCCAGUCGUGGGGGAUAACUAGCCGAAAGGUUAGCUAAUACCGCAUACGACCGAGAGGUGAAAGCGGGGGACCGCAAGGCCUCGCGCGAUUGGAUGAGCCGACGUCGGAUUAGCUAGUUGGCGGGGUAAAGGCCCACCAAGGCGACGAUCCGUAGCUGGUCUGAGAGGAUGAUCAGCCACACUGGAACUGAGACACGGUCCAGACUCCUACGGGAGGCAGCAGUGGGGAAUAUUGGACAAUGGGCGCAAGCCUGAUCCAGCAAUGCCGCGUGUGUGAAGAAGGCCUUC